AGCAGUCGCCACGGGAAUACAGAGGGUGCGAGCGUUAAUCGGAUUUACUGGGCGUAAAGCGUGCGUAGGCGGCUUCUUAAGUCGGAUGUGAAAUCCCUGAGCUUAACUUAGGAAUUGCAUUCGAUACUGGGAAGCUAGAGUAUGGGAGAGGAUGGUAGAAUUCCAGGUGUAGCGGUGAAAUGCGUAGAGAUCUGGAGGAAUACCGAUGGCGAAGGCAGCCAUCUGGCCUAAUACUGACGCUGAGGUACGAAAGCAUGGGGAGCAAACAGGAUUAGAGACCCCAGUAGUCCCUGUCUCUUAUAC
rnacentral:rRNA from 1 species